rnacentral:rRNA from 1 species
UGGGGAAUAUUGGACAAUGGGCGAAAGCCUGAUCCAGCCAUGCCGCGUGUGUGAAGAAGGCCUUUUGGUUGUAAAGCACUUUAAGUGGGGAGGAAAAGCCUAUGGUUAAUACCCAUAAGCCCUGACGUUACCCACAGAAUAAGCACCGGCUAACUCUGUGCCAGCAGCCGCGGUAAUACAGAGGGUGCAAGCGUUAAUCGGAAUUACUGGGCGUAAAGCGCGCGUAGGUGGUUAUUUAAGUCAGAUGUGAAAGCCCCGGGCUUAACCUGGGAACUGCAUCUGAUACUGGAUAACUAGAGUAGGUGAGAGGGGAGUAGAAUUCCAGGUGUAGCGGUGAAAUGCGUAGAGAUCUGGAGGAAUACCGAUGGCGAAGGCAGCUCCCUGGCAUCAUACUGACACUGAGGUGCGAAAGCGUGGGUAGCAAACAGGAUUAGAUACCCUGGUAGUCCACGCCGUAAACGAUGUCUACCAGUCGUUGGGUCUUUUAAAGACUUAGUGACGCAGUUAACGCAAUAAGUAGACCGCCUGGGGAGUACGGCCGCAAGGUUA